GUGAAUUAUUGUUAGAAAGAUUAAGAAAUCCUUGGUGAAUUUCUCUUACAAUCUUGUGCGCAGAGCGGUGGAGCAAGCAAAGCAAUGGGUAGCGUUGUGUCAAUCAACUUAUCAUGCGAUGACAUUGUUUCACGCUGCUGGGAUUCCGUUUUUGGAAGAGAACCGUAUGUACGUAAGCUCCAAGAAAACCUUCAAGCUCUCUCAACUUAUUUACAAGAACUCAAGGCUUUAGAGGAUGAUGUGCAAAGAAAGGUUGAGCUUGCAGAGCGGCAGCCGCGAUUAAAGCGGUUAGAGCAGAACUAAUGAAGCCUUGUGGCUAUAUGGCAGUGGAAUCUAGAAGUGUGAAGAAUUCGAGGACUUCUUCUACAAGUAUGUCAAAACUUAGGAUGGGAAUUGGGGCUACUUAUCAUAAACAAGUGCAGGGUAUGGAAUGCAACUUCAAGUGGAACGAACUCGAGAAAAUGAGUCGCAUCUAUGCUGAUUGGAUUGAAGAUAUCCCCCCUUGUACAUGGCUUAUCAAGCAAAGCGGAGUGCUGAUUAAGUUUAGGGAUUUCAGUCGUUACUUUGCUUUUGUAAAGACGUGUUUUCUUUUUACAAGUGUGGUGUGUCAAAUGGAUGUAACUAGCAGAAAAUUGGUUCGUGUAGUGUGAACUGACUUGAAAAUGUUAUUUGCAAGUAACUCUCA